rnacentral:rRNA from 1 species
AUUGAACGCUGGCGGCAGGCUUAACACAUGCAAGUCGAACGAGUGGCGGACGGGUGAGUAAUGCUUGGGAAUCUAGCUUAUGGAGGGGGAUAACUACGGGAAACUGUAGCUAAUACCGCGUACCAUAGGAUGAGCCCAAGUGGGAUUAGGUAGUUGGUGAGGUAAAGGCUCACCAAGACGACGAUCUCUAGCUGGUCUGAGAGGAUGACCAGCCACACUGGGACUGAGACACGGCCCAGACUCCUACGGGAGGCAGCAGUGGGGAAUAUUGCACAAUGGGCGCAAGCCUGAUGCAGCCAUGCCGCGUGUAUGAAGAAGGCCUUAGGGUUGUAAAGGACGUUCAGCGGGGAGUCGUUACCCUCCGAAGCAGCACGGGCUACCUCCGUGCCAGAAGCUGCGGUAAUAC